GCACACGAGCAGCUGGCAGUGCCCUCGGUGUCCCCAGGAAGUAGGGAAGCCUGCACAGACGGCUGGGCCGCGUGACUUCCCAGCAAAACCGUCAGGGUCCCACCCACCGGGUCCCUGUGCUUGAAGAGGGGUAGCAAGAAAUGCCCUGAGAGGCGGGGGCAGCGGAGCCAGGGGGCUCAGACUCUGAAUGCUGGCGCCCAGGGGCAGCACCGUGCGGAGGACGCCCGGCCGCGGGCGCGCAAACCGACUCCGCACGUCGCGGGGUGCCGCACAGGCCCAGGGAGCGGCGCCGGGGGCGGGGGCGGGGCUCUGGGGCCAGAGCGGACCCCGCCGAGCGCCGUGGCGAGAGGCCCGCGGGACAAGGCGCCCGCUUUCCUUGGCAGCGCCUGCUGCCCGCGCUGGUCUCGGGGAGUGUCAGCUGGAGGGUGGGGUUGACCGGGAAGUGAACAUGGAUGUGGUGCAGAGCAGAGCGCAGGCUGGAUGGAGCGUGAAGGUGAAAGUCGGGGGUUCAGGGAACGCCCGCUCCCAGUCGGAUGCCGGGCGCUCCCGCGGAGGGGCAUGGAGGACGCUGCCAGGCGGCAGGGCCCCGAGAGGCGUUCGAGGCGGAGACGCGGCAGGACCGGCUCUGCAUCUGCGGCACGGGGAGCGCCCACGCGGGGUGGGGAGGCCUACAGAGGCGCCCCCGGAGCUGGGCCUCGUUGUCACGGCUGGGAUUCCAACCGGGGAAGAUGGGGCUGGGAGCGGCCCUGGGCGGGCACCGCGUGAGCUUGGGAAGGAAGGCAGGCCCGGGACUCUGCACGAAGCCUGUGGCAGACGCGCUCCCGCGGAUCCCCAGGGACGCGGGGCGAGGCCGGGGCCGCCGCUUCCCGGGGAGGGAGGCCUGUGUGCUAGUCCUGCCUACGGAGGGGAGGCCACGCGGUCACGUCGGCCGGCAGCGUGGAUUUGACAUGCAGGGAAGAACUCGAACCCCAGGCCAGCUUGGACUCGCAGCCCUGCCUUUCGUGAACAUUGCACAACCUAUCCGACUGCCCCGUGCCUCACUUUUCUCCUCUGGGAAAUGGGGACGUUGUGAUACCAGGACACCUUGAAUGGGCCUGGCACACAGCAGAUGCUCAGUAAAGGUGGAGAAACUGGGCUCCGAGAAGCAAAGCGACUUGCUGAAGGCCACACAGCGAAGCAGAGCUGAGGCUGCUCACCAGGCAGACUCCAGGAUGAAGGGCUUCACCUACCGCCCCCUGUGCAAACAGCACUUCACCGGCAGUUUUCUGCAAAGCUCAUUGCCAGGGCCGGCUCCCCUUUGGGACAGUCUUCCCACAGUGAGACUGCAGGUGGCGGCAGCGGUCAUGUUGGGCUGCUCAGCCCCUGCUUUGCUGUACCGGGAAGAUCACAGAAAACCAGCCAGCAUGGACCCGGAGGAUUGCAGAGGGCAGAGAGCUUGGAUAGCCAGUGGCCACACGGGGGCCGUGCCUGGCUCAGGGGCCCUCCUCCCAGAGGUGCCGGGCUUGUGUGGGUGCGGCCAUGCCAGCCAGGCAGGGUCAGCAGGUUUCAACAAAUACAUCUGCAGUACCAUUUGAAUCUUUUAAACCAGGAACAUGUGUUGCACUGAUACAAAUGCAAAUUCAAUAGCAAAAGAACAAACAUCUUUACAAAUUUGACAGGUGAGAAGUGCUCCAUGGUUGCUUGGAUCUACAUUCCUUUAAUUUCUGGCGAGGACGUACAUUGCUCAAAUGUUUCUGCACCGUCUGUGUUUUCUCUAAGUCCUGGUGUCUGCUGCCAGGAAACAGAGUAAGGCUGGAGCCUGGCACGUGGGGGCAGACAGCUCUGCUUCCAAGUCCUGCUCUGCCAGUACCUGGGUGACCUCACACGGGGGGCUUCAUCUCCACUUUGCUCGCCCACAGACUGGAUGGUAAUAGCAUGCAGUCUUAGUCCAUUCAGGCUGCUUAAACACAAUGCCACAGACUCGGGGGGCUUAUAAACAACAGAAAUUUGUUUCUCAUGGUUCUGGAGGCGAGAAGUCUGAGAGCAGGCUGCCGGCAGGGCCUGGUGAGGGCCCUGUUCUGGGCACACUUCCUCUCUCAGGGGAAGGGGCAGGGGCUCUCUCUGGGGCCCCUUAUAUUAAGGCCCAUUUCAUGGGGAGAGGGUCUCUGCCCUCAUAACCUAAUUGCCUCCCCAAAGUCCCACUUCCUAACGUCAUCACCUUUGGGGGUGAGGACUUCAAUGUGUGGAUUUUGGUGAGACGAGGUUAGACAACAGCAAUGGUGACGUUUUGGUGAGUUGGGAUGGCAGAGGUUGUAGAAGUUUUUAAAGUGCUCUCACCUACAUCCUCUCAUUUAAUCUGCAUAGUACGGGUGUUGUUUUAACAUCUUUUUCACUAAGGACAGGAGACUCAGAGGGAUUGAGCAAGUUGCCUGUCACCCACUCUAUCGCUCUGUGGAGCUCACCGUGAAAACGUCUCUGACCCUGAACCCAGCCCUGAGCAGACCCAGGGGCCAAUCUCUGCCACUAGGUGUUGAAUUGGCCAUUCAGACCCCGUGAUUGGGUCUCUGUGGCAACUCUGUCUCUGAGUUUUGUUCAUUUCUUUUGAGACCUCCCUCAGGGGCCCCUGACUUCCUGCUCCCGUGCGGACUGGCAGCCCUCUCAGCCCACUGAACGGCUGUGGUUCUGGCAUUUUCCUUUGCUGUUACCCUGGGGACCCCCUUACUGCCUUGUGUUGGAUCACUGGUUUCUUAGUCCCCGGGUACCUUCUGUUUUGCAGCUCACCUCCUCAUUUUGGUAGAGCACAGCCUCUAAGGAGGCAUGGAGGUAAAUGUUACAAGACCUUGCAUGUCUUAAAGUGACCUUAUUCUAGCCUCAUGCUUGAUCGACAGCCCGAGAAUUGAAGUCUAUGUUGAAAACCAUUUUCGUUAGGAUUUUGAAGGCAUUGCUCUGUCGGCUUCUAGCUUGUACGGUUGCUGGAGAGAAUUCUGGAGCCAUUCUGAUUCGGAGUCUUUGUGACCAUUUCUUCCCGUUCUCUGGAAACUCUAGAAACAAUUUAUUCUAGUACCCAAUCAUUCUGGUACAUAAAGAUGCUGUGUCUUGG